GUCCAAGGUCCCUUACCACCCAAUAAAAUAUGUGAGGGGUCUACUGGGUCUUAUGGUUGAUUAUUUGGAGCCUCUGUUUCUGGAGCUCUUCUAUAUAGUACAGUGGUGCCCCGCAAGACGAAUGCCUCGCAAGACGGAAAACUCGCUAGACGAAAGAGUUUUCCGUUUUGGAGGUGCCUCGCAAAACGAAUCUGCUAUGGGCUUGCUUCGCAAGACGAAAAUGUCUUGCGAGUUCCUGGGUUGUUUUUUUUCCUUUUCCCCCUCUUUUUCUAAGUCGCUAAGCCGCUUAUCUGCUUAUCCGAUAAGCUGAUAAACUGCUAAAAGCCGCUAAAGUGCCGCUAAUAGCGCUAAUAGCGCUAAUCCGCUAAUCCCAUCAAUGGGCUUGCUUCGCAAGACGAAAAAACCGCUAGACGAAGAGACUCCCAGAACGGAUUCUUUUCGUCUUGCGAGGCACCACUGUAUAUAGUACAUGAUAUGUAUUGUAUGUAUGUGUAUACUAUAUAUUAUCCAUGCUGCCUGUAUUACUGUAUGUGUAUGGCUUACUGAACCUCAGUGGGGCCUUCUGCACCCCUUCACCCCUUCUUCAUCUUUCAGAAUACUCUUGACUGUUUAGUUAUUUGUGAAAUGUUUGCCCAUCCAGUGGAUUCUUGUUUGACCUUCCUCACUGCCUCUGAGAUCUGAAUUAUUUCCAUGCUGCUUUUAACAAUGGUAUUAUAAAGAGUUUAAAACAUGCAGGCCAUGUAUAAUGUAUGUUUCCCAUACCAUCCAGUAAGUUUUUAUAUCUGAAAUAUACUACUCACUAGAUAACACAGAUGUCUGUUGGGAGUGGUUUAAGUAUUAUUGGCCUUGCUUCUUGGAUGCAUUUUUUUUUUUUUUUUGCUCAUCACCAUAUUUCUGCUGUUCUUUCCCACACACUUUUAGUAGGAGCUGCACAGCUAUGGAAAUAUACCAUCCAUCUUUCUUUCUUAGUAAAACCCCAACAUUAUGUCUCACACCAUCCAAUAGGUUCCUGACCUUUCUAAUGUUUCUUUUACCUUUAAUGUAAUGUGGGAUAACCUUUGAAAUUAUUUUGAUUUACAGUGCAAUCCUAUUUUUGUCUACCCAAAAGUAUGUCCCACUGAGUUCAAUGACAUUUCAAUACCUACUUGAAUGGUAGCAAACCUCAUUGAACUCAAUGGGACUUUUUUUUAUAUAUAUGCAUAGGAUCACACAAUUAGUG